rnacentral:rRNA from 1 species
CAGAGGUCCCAAGCGUUGUUCGGAUUCACUGGGCGUAAAGGGUGCGUAGGCGGUCAGAUAAGUCUGAUGUGAAAUCUUCGAGCUCAACUCGGAAACUGCAUCGGAAACUAUCUGGCUCGAGGAUUGGAGGGGAGACUGGAAUUCUCGGUGUAGCAGUGAAAUGCGUAGAUAUCGAGAGGAACACCAGUGGCGAAGGCGAGUCUCUGGACAAUUCCUGACGCUGAGGCACGAAAGCUAGGGGAGCAAACAGGAUUAGAUACCCUGGUAGUCCUAGCCCUAAACGGUGCACGUUUGCUGUAAGAGGAAUCGACCCCUUUUGUGGCGAAGCUAACGCGUUAAACGUGCCGCCUGGGAAGUACGGCCGCAAGGUUA